rnacentral:sRNA from 1 species
UACCUAAAAUUCUGCACAAGCGGCGGAAUCAUGGCAUUGAAAACAUCGGAGAUGAAGAACCUGUCGACAGGGCACUCCGAUGUUAUGGGGGGAAACUCUCAUAGGGCCGAAAGGCCU